rnacentral:rRNA from 1 species
UGAACGCUGGCGGUAUGCCUAACACAUGCAAGUCGUACGAGAGUUUUUAACUCAAGUGGCGGACGGGUGAGUAACACGUGAGAAUUUGCCUUUAGGAGGGGGAUAACAGAGAGAAAUCGCUGCUAAUACCCCAUAUGCUUUCGAGUGAAAUGAAUUUAUUCGCCUAGAGAGAAGCUCGCGGCUGAUUAGCUAGUUGGUAGGGUAAUGGCCUACCAAGGCGACGAUCAGUAUCUGGUUUGAGAGGACGAUCAGACACACUGGAACUGAGACACGGUCCAGACUCCUACGGGAGGCAGCAGUGGGGAAUUUUCCGCAAUGGGCGAAAGCCUGACGGAGCAAUACCGCGUGAGGGAAGACGGCCUAUGGGUUGUAAACCUCUUUUUUCAGGGAGGAAUAAAUGACGUGUACCUGAAGAAUAAGCAUCGGCUAACUCC